rnacentral:rRNA from 1 species
UACGUAGGGUGCAAGCGUUAAUCGGAAUUACUGGGCGUAAAGCGUGCGCAGGCGGUUACGUAAGACAGGUGUGAAAUCCCCGGGCUCAACCUGGGAAUUGCAUUUGUGACUGCAUUGCUGGAGUACGGAAGAGGGGGGUGGAAUUCCCGGUGUAGCGGUGAAAUGCGUAGAUAUCGGGAGGAACAUCAAUGGCGAAGGCGGCCCUCUGGUCCAGUACUGACACUCAAGUGCGAAAGCGUGGGGAGCAAACAGG